rnacentral:rRNA from 1 species
CCUACGGGGGGCUGCAGUGGGGAAUAUUGGACAAUGGGGGCAACCCUGAUCCAGCCAUGCCGCGUGUGUGAAGAAGGCCCUCGGGUUGUAAAGCACUUUCAGUGAGGAAGAACGCCUGGUGGUUAAUACCCAUCAGGAAAGACAUCACUCACAGAAGAAGCACCGGCUAACUCCGUGCCAGCAGCCGCGGUAAUACGGAGGGUGCGAGCGUUAAUCGGAAUUACUGGGCGUAAAGCGCGCGUAGGUGGCUUGAUAAGCCGGUUGUGAAAGCCCCGGGCUCAACCUGGGAACGGCAUCCGGAACUGUCAAGCUAGAGUGCAGGAGAGGAAGGUAGAAUUCCCGGUGUAGCGGUGAAAUGCGUAGAGAUCGGGAGGAAUACCAGUGGCGAAGGCGGCCUUCUGGACUGACACUGACACUGAGGUGCGAAAGCGUGGGUAGCAAACAGGAUUAGAUACCCCUGGUAGUC